UCGAUUUCCGACGAAUCAAGGACAUUAAGGAGAUCGCGUCGCCUGGUUUUGUGCGCCAUUAGAAGGUGGAUUUCCCAGAGCGGUUUAUCGGCGGGGAGAGGCGAGGAGACGACGAGAUCAGCGAUGAAUUCAUGGAUGGCGUCUUUGUCGAAGGUUGACGGAUCGGCGCUGAGUGGGUGGUGACGGAUGAUUAGGUGUUGGUCAAUGUCGACGGCGGUUCGACAUAUGAUUUCUGUGAGCAUUCCAUGGACAAUGGGGAUUGAGGCAGAUGUCCGAGUUUGGGUUGAAGAUUUUACUAAGUUGCAUUUUAAUGAGGUUAUAAGCUUUACUGUUGUCACCGAUUUUCUGUUUAUUGUUGGUGUUGUGUGAUUUUGGUAGAUGGGAAAGAAAAAAGAAAUUAUUCUCUGAAUAUUAAGUGCAUCUGGCUGUUAGUUUUUGCUGUUAAAGUAUCGAGGUACUUGAUCUUGAAUUAGGGAGGUUUUUGUCUGUAAGUGGCCGAAAUAAUAAUGAUCAAUUGUAUCCAUGCUGAUGAUAAUGAUAACUACUAUGAUUCUAUUGUUGUAAAUAUAUCUAUAAGAUAUAUCUUAUGUGUGUUGACCAAGAAACCUCCCUAAAAC
rnacentral:lncRNA from 1 species